AUACAGGACCUAAAUACCCUAAAGGCACCAUAUUCUGUCUGAUCUUGGAAGCUAAGUAGUAUCAGUCCAGUUACUAGUUGAAUGGGAUACCACCAGUGAAUACCAGGUGUUGUAUGUU
rnacentral:rRNA from 1 species